GCUCUCGUAGUCAAACAUAUCUCUCAGUAUAUUGAGAGGGCAAAGUCAGGGCAAAAAGGCGGUGUGUACUGGACGCAGGAGAGAGAAGCAAGCAGAUGUGGGCGCGGGUCAACCUCUGCAGUAAAGGCAAAGUUUUGGGGCCAAAGUUUCCAGUCUUCUAUGAGGUGUUGAUCCUGAGAACACUCCCUAACAAACUUCCCGCAGCUAAUCUCUCUCAGAGUGUGCUUCCCAGAGAACCCAACCUGAACAGCUCCAACAGCACCUCUCCUCAGAACAGUCUAUCUCACAGGAAGAAGUCAGGACCACAGCAAGAACUGGUGGAAGAAAUUUGCAGUCAGAGAAAACUGCAUGUGCAAAAGCCCUGAGGCGGGAGGUGCGUGCAGUGACGACCAGUGCAGCGGGAGUGCAGAAGAGUGGUAUGAGAUGAGCCUGGAGGAGGGUGGAGCAUGGAGUCCAUGUGAAAGACUUUGGUCUUUUAUGAAGAAGGGAUAGUUAUGGUCAAAUUCAUAAUGUCCUGAUUCUUCUUUUCCCGUCAUCUGUCCAUCUCCGCCAUGGUCUGCUUCACUAGCUGCAAGUAUAAAUACGGUCUCAUCUCUUUUAUUUUUUCCUAUUAAUUGCUGGAGCCCCCAUAUGUCAAACUGCUCACAUGUGAAGCCUCCCACCGCAGGCAUCCAAGACCCCCAAGGUCUUACUCAGUCCAAAGCAGAAGGCAGCUUCUCCUUCCCAAUAGCACAGAGAGAUGAAAAGGACUAGUGAGCUCAGUAGUGCCCUGUCACAGCCUCUGGUCACUGUCAAGCACUAUCCCACACAUACAGAUACUUGUGUGCUGCCGAGGGGAGGAGAGGCUCCAGGGGUAAACUCCGACUUACCUUGCUCUCGCUCAGCCAUUAUCUCCAGAGAAGAGUCUGGGGGGCUGGGCCUGUAGGAGUGUCCACCUGUCCAGGCCCAAUUCUUUACCACCAGCCCAAGUGCCACUCUGGAAGCCUCGGUGUCCUUCCUGCCAGGGGACCUCCCUUAGGAUGAGGCUAAUCCUUCAAGAAGCUCCCACGUGUCGAACCUCUCAGGAGGCUGCUGCGCUUCCAUGCAGUCUUGCCUUCCUCGUCCCCCAGACCAGGGGACCUGCAGACCAGGGGACACCUGUGGAGGCGUUUCUGUCAGGGCACAGCAGCUCCUGUCACUCUCUAGGCCAAUAUAGCCCAUGGCAAACGGCCUUUCCCACUAUAACAAGACCAAGCCCACGGCCACCUGCUCUCUCCAUUUCCAGACAUAGAGGAUGAUGAUGAUGCCAUUUGGAGUUUUUAUUUUUCCCUAACUCAACACCUCAUCAUUAGAAUAUUAAUAUAUAAAAUCAUGAAAUCAGAAAAUAUCAAUAGAAAAAUAUCCCAUUUCCUCAACCAAUAAAAGACAUUUAUAUCAGCAUGUUUAUGACAAAAUGCAGUUUCCAUGGGUGAACGUGCCUCCGGGCAGGGUGACUGUGGCAUUCCAUACAGCCUUACAGGACUGGCAGCCCACUGAGCAAAUGAUGGCUCUAGGCCCCGACACUAGGAAUUCCACUUUGAAAACAGGCUUUAUUGUGGAAACAUCUACUCUGAAUAAACGUUACUGACAUAUGUCUCCUGGAACUCAAUUUUUGUUAAAAACUGAAAAACGAUAAUGUCUUUACUUUUUACUAAUGGUAGUAAAUACCUACAGAAUACCCUAAAAGCUUUAAAAAUAUAUCUUUCCAUGGUUUCUUUUUCACUGAAAUAGUAAGGUCCUAAAAAUCUAUAUAUUUUUGUAUCCAGAAUAUAUAAAGAA